UACGUAGGGGGCAAGCGUUGUCCGGAUUUAUUGGGCGUAAAGAGCGUGUAGGCGGCUUUACAGGUCCGUUGUGAAAACUCGAGGCUCAACUUCGAGCUGUCGGUGGAAACUUUCUGGCUAGAGUCCGGAAGAGGAGAAUGGAAUUCCUGGUGUAGCGGUGAAAUGCGCAGAUAUCAGGAAGAACACCCGUGGCGAAGGCAGCCCCCUGGGAUAACACUGACGCUCAUGCACGAAAGCGUGGGGAGCAGACAGG
rnacentral:rRNA from 1 species